rnacentral:rRNA from 1 species
UACAGAGGUCCCGAGCGUUUGUUCGGAUUCAUUGGGCGUAAAGGGUGCGUAGGCGGUCUUCUAAGUUUGAUGUGAAAGCCUGGGGCUCAACCCUGGAAUGGCAUUGAAUACUGGAGGACUAGAGUACUGGAGAGGAAACUGGAAUUUACGGUGUAGCAGUGAAAUGCGUAGAGAUCGUAAGGAAGACCAGUGGCGAAGGCGAGUUUCUGGACAGUUACUGACGCUGAGGCACGAAGGCCAGGGGAGCAAACGGG